CCUACGGGUGGCAGCAGUGAGGAAUAUUGGUCAAUGGGCGCAAGCCUGAACCAGCCAAGUCGCGUGAGGGAUGACGGUCCUAUGGAUUGUAAACCUCUUUUGUCGGGGAGCAAGGCCCGCCACGUGUGGCGGGAAGGAGAGUACCCGAAGAAAAAGCAUCGGCUAACUACGUGCCAGCAGCCGCGGUAAUACGUAGGGGGCAAGUGUUAUUCGGAUUUACUGGGUGUAAAGGGAGCGUAGGUGGCAUGGUAAGCCAGAAGUGAAAACCCAGGGCUCAACUCUGUGGAUUGCUUUUGGAACUAUCAAGCUAGAGUGCUGGAGGGGUAAGCGGAAUUCCUAGUGUAGCGGUGAAAUGCGUAGAUAUUAGGAGGAACACCGGUGGCGAAGGCGGCUUACUGGACAGAAACUGACACUGAGGCUCGAAAGCGUGGGGAGCAAACAGGAUUAGAUACCCGAGUAGUC
rnacentral:rRNA from 1 species